rnacentral:rRNA from 1 species
CAACUUGAGAGUUUGAUCCUGGCUCAGAACGAACGCUGGCGGCAUGCCUAACACAUGCAAGUCGAACGAGAAGCUACCUUCGGGUGGUGGACAGUGGCGCACGGGUGAGUAACACGUGGGGACCUGCCUGAUAGUAAGGGACAACAGCUGGAAACGGCUGCUAAUACCUUAUACGCCCUUCGGGGGAAAGAUUUAUCGCUAUCAGAUGGACCCGCGCUAGAUUAGAUAGUUGGUGAGGUAAUGGCUCACCAAGUCUGCGAUCUAUAGCUGGUUUGAGAAGAUGAUCAGCCACAUUGGGACUGAGACACGGCCCAGACUCCUACGGGAGGCAG